AUGGUAAUCCUAGCCCAUAAUAGUUCGGUCUUUUCCUUUAAAAGGCUGAUGCCUGCCUGCAAUAAACGUUGCCUUGAUCGGACUCUUGGCGUUCUUCCUUUCUCUCUGCCCCAUCUCCACCCCGCUGCUCUUUCAGAUUUGAACACUGCUGGACAGUGCUCUGCAUCGCCGGCUCGCAACAGGCAACAGCACCCAGUAUCUGGUGAAGAGCAGAGAAGAGUGGAAGAGACCACACUCUAUACCAGAGGAGGAGGAGAGGCCCAAAGGCAAAGAGAAAAAUCACAGUAUAGAAGCAAAGGAAACAAAAGUAGCAUCUGGGGAGGGACGCUAAUGUGAGUGGAAGUAGCACAGGGUCGCACACAUCUUAUGCCUUCCUCCUUGUGAACAGAGUGCUGAUUUUAUUCCAAACAGUAUGUUCAGCUAUACAUAAUGAAUGAUGAUUGCUCCAAACCAG
rnacentral:lncRNA from 1 species